UGCGGCUGGAUCCCCUCCUUUCUAAGGAACACACUGCCUCGGUCCUAAGCGAAUGCCUUGGGGUUGCCGAGGAAGUUCCCACGUCGAUCACUGGUUAUUCGGGCGCACAGUCGCCGUCCGACCCCGGCGUACCAGCCGGUUACCUCGUGUAACUGGGCCGUCGCCGGCACCACCGGACCCUGUGAUGUCCCGGACUUUCACUGCUCUGUUUUGAGGAAGCGACCCCGAUAGGUGUCGAUUUCUUCGGGCCGCGCGCUCUGUGUCCCUCCGUCGAGCCCAGACUCGUUCUGGUGAUCCGGGGCCACACAGAUCGCGACCUCGAGACGUGUCGCGUCUCGGCGCGCUCCUUGAGAACUGCAUAGCGAGCACGAGCGUCUUAGUGCACUGCAGUUUCCUUACUGCGGUGCUACUAAAUACACGAACAUGGCUCCUUCGUCUUCCUAUAACCAGCGGAAGACGUGAGGAGUGUGCGAUUUCAAGCUACAAAGAGCCAACGGUGGAUGCCUUGGCGCCAGAUGCCGAUGAAGGACGUGGGUGGCUGCGAAAAGCCACGGGGAGCUGCCGACCAAGCUUCGAUCCGUGGAUGUCCGAAUGGGGAAACCCGG
rnacentral:misc_RNA from 1 species